UACGUAGGGGGCUAGCGUUGUCCGGAUUUAUUGGGCGUAAAGAGCGUGUAGGCGGCCAGGUAGGUCUGGUGUGAAAACUCGAGGCUUAACCUCGAGAUGUCAUCGGAAACCAUCUGGCUAGAGUCCGGAAGAGGAGAGUGGAAUUCUCGGUGUAGCAGUGAAAUGCGUAGAUAUCGAGAGGAACACCAGUGGCGAAGGCGAGUCCCUGGACAACACCUGACACUGAGGCACGAAAGCUAGGGGAGCAAACAGG
rnacentral:rRNA from 1 species